rnacentral:rRNA from 1 species
GUUGGGUAGGGGAGCGUUCUGUAAGCCUGCGAAGGUGUACUGUGAGGUAUGCUGGAGGUAUCAGAAGUGCGAAUGCUGACAUAAGUAACGAUAAUGCGGGUGAAAAACCCGCACGCCGGAAGACCAAGGGUUCCUGUCCAACGUUAAUCGGGGCAGGGUGAGUCGACCCCUAAGGCGAGGCUGAAAAGCGUAGUCGAUGGGAAACGGGUUAAUAUUCCCGUACUGGUGGUAACUGCGAUGGGGGAACGGAGAAGGCUAGGUUGUCCGGGCGACGGUCGUCCCGGUUCAAGCAGGUAGGCAGAGUGAUUAGGCAAAUCCGGUCACUUAAUGCUGAGAUGUGAUGACGAACCACCAAGGUGGUGAAGCAAUUGAUGCCCCGCUUCCAGGAAAAGCCUCUAAGCUUCAGGUUACCAACAAUCGUACCCCAAACCGACACAGGUGGUCAGGUAGAGAAUACUCAGGCGCUUGAGAGAACUCGGGUGAAGGAACUAGGCAAAAUGGUGCCGUAACUUCGGGAGAAGGCACGCUGGCGGUAGGUAAAGUCCCUCGCGGACGGCGCUGAAGCCAGUCGAAGAUACCAGCUGGCUGCAACUGUUUAUUAAAAACACAGCACUGUGCAAACACGAAAGUGGACGUAUACGGUGUGACGCCUGCCCGGUGCUGGAAGGUUAAUUGAUGGGGUCAGCCGUAAGGCGAAGCUCCUGAUCGAAGCCCCAGUAAACGGCGGCCGUAACUAUAACGGUCCUAAGGUAGCGAAAUUCCUUGUCGGGUAAGUUCCGACCUGCACGAAUGGCGUAAUGAUGGCCAGGCUGUCUCCACCCGAGACUCAGUGAAAUUGAACUCGCUGUGAAGAUGCAGUGUACCCGCGGCAAGACGGAAAGACCCCGUGAACCUUUACUAUAGCUUGACACUGAACAUUGAGCCUUGAUGUGUAGGAUAGGUGGGAGGCUUUGAAGUGUGGACGCCAGUCUGCAUGGAGCCAACCUUGAAAUACCACCCUUUAACGUUUGAUGUUCUAACCUAGGCCCAUAAACUGGGUCGGGGACCGUGUCUGGUGGGUAGUUUGACUGGGGCGGUCUCCUCCUAAAGAGUAACGGAGGAGCACGAAGGUUGGCUAAGCAUGGUCGGACAUCAUGCGGUUAGUGCAAAGGCAUAAGCCAGCUUGACUGCGAGAGUGACGGCUCGAGCAGGUACGAAAGUAGGUCUUAGUGAUCCGGUGGUUCUGAAUGGAAGGGCCAUCGCUCAACGGAUAAAAGGUACUCCGGGGAUAACAGGCUGAUACCGCCCAAGAGUUCAUAUCGACGGCGGUGUUUGGCACCUCGAUGUCGGCUCAUCACAUCCUGGGGCUGAAGUAGGUCCCAAGGGUAUGGCUGUUCGCCAUUUAAAGUGGUACGCGAGCUGGGUUUAGAACGUCGUGAGACAGUUCGGUCCCUAUCUGCCGUGGGCGUUGGAAGAUUGAGAGGGGUUGCUCCUAGUACGAGAGGACCGGAGUGAACGCACCACUGGUGUUCGGGUUGUCAUGCCAAUGGCAUUGCCCGGUAGCUAAGUGCGGAAGAGAUAACCGCUGAAAGCAUCUAAGCGGGAAACUUGCCUCGAGAUGAGUCUUCCCUGUCACUUUAAGUGACCUAAAGGAACGUUUAAGACUAAGACGUUGAUAGGCUGGGUGUGUAAGCGUAGCGAUACGUUGAGCUAACCAGUACUAAUGAACCGUGAGGCUUAACCUGACAACACCGAAAGUGUUUUG